UCCGUUCUCCUUUCUUUGUUUUUUUGCUGCCCUCCCUGUUCUUUCCUUCCUCCGUUCCUCGUCCCGCUGAAUUCUGCAAAUCAGAUCCGGUUCUGCGUAGACAUGCAGACGAUUCUGGCAGCUGGAGAUGUUUGCCAUGCCAUUUCUUGCCUUCCUUUGCAUGAGUUGGUGGCUGCCGCAUAUUUCAUUCUACGUUUCUACAUUUAGCAUGCCUUGGGUGCUCAAGAUCUGACCUUUCCCGGCAGACGUAUACUCCGUCGUAUAUUUAACACGAACAGAGUCCACGUGGGGGAGGAAAAAAACCACCAAGAUAUCUCACUCUGAUCUGAAAAAAUAUGGCAAAAGACUAUGAAUUCGUAAAAGCAAUUAAAAUUGACGAAGAGGAUGAGUGCACCGACAAAAAUUCUGCUCACCUGCUGACUGACGAUGUGUUCUCUUCUCUGGGAUGUCAGCUGGUCCGCUGCCGAAGCACAACGGCGUCAGCUGGAGGGGCAAUUCCUGCAUGAAGGAUGGCCUUUCUGACAGCACCACCCG
rnacentral:lncRNA from 1 species